GAAACCAGUCAAGCAUCAUCAGCCUGGGACCGGACUUUUUUCGUUCUCAGAGAGAAAUAAAUAAAACACUAUUGCUGCCCUGGAAGAGAGCGCCUGCCAACUUCCUCUGCAAUAAUUAAGUUUUCAGGCUUCAGUAUCAGCUGGACCAGAUACUAAUGAGAUGCUAAAGUGCUCAAAGAAGUUACAUCAACAUUUUAAAGCUUUCCCUGCUCCAGGGAAGCAUCUUAGUUUCAAAUGCAGUCUCUGAUGGGUAAAGGUGAGGAAGAGUGUCUUCUGAUGGAUGGGCUGUCAGAGGAAAUCGAAUGUGACCAGCUGCUUGCUCAGAGAUGGAAAGGAAAUUGGUCACUACGUAGAACCUGACGUCACCUCUGGGGAAUGUCAGCAGCUUCCUCUGGGUUCACGUGCAGUGUCUACACAAGAGAAAAGUGAGGCUUCUCUCUUGGCCAGUGACUCCAUGACCCUCAGCAAGUCAAUUCAACUCUAGGAAUCUCAGCUUUUCCUCUUAACAGAAAAGCAACCAGGAAGGUAGAGAAUGGAGAACUGAAUUUGCUGAAUGAUUUUCAAGCACCCGGUUUUUAAAGUGAU